rnacentral:rRNA from 1 species
AAAAGUGAAAGACGGUCUUGCUGUCACUUAUAGAUGGAUCCGCGCUGCAUUAGCUAGUUGGUAAGGUAACGGCUUACCAAGGCAACGAUGCAUAGCCGACCUGAGAGGGUGAUCGGCCACACUGGAACUGAGACACGGUCCAGACUCCUACGGGAGGCAGCAGUAGGGAAUCUUCCGCAAUGGGCGAAAGCCUGACGGAGCAACGCCGCGUGAGUGAUGAAGGUCUUCGGAUCGUAAAACUCUGUUAUUAGGGAAGAACAUAUGUGUAAGUAACUGUGCACAUCUUGACGGUACCUAAUCAGAAAGCCACGGCUAACUACGUGCCAGCAGCCGCGGUAAUACGUAGGUGGCAAGCGUUAUCCGGAAUUAUUGGGCGUAAAGCGCGCGUAGGCGGUUUUUUAAGUCUGAUGUGAAAGCCCACGGCUCAACCGUGGAGGGUCAUUGGAAACUGGAAAACUUGAGUGCAGAAGAGGAAAGUGGAAUUCCAUGUGUAGCGGUGAAAUGCGCAGAGAUAUGGAGGAACACCAGUGGCGAAGGCGACUUUCUGGUCUGUAACUGACGCUGAUGUGCGAAAGCGUGGGGAUCAAACAGGAUUAGAUACCCUGGUAGUCCACGCCGUAAACGAUGAGUGCUAAGUGUUAGGGGGUUUCCGCCCCUUAGUGCUGCAGCUAACGCAUUAAGCACUCCGCCUGGGGAGUACGACCGCAAGGUUGAAACUCAAAGGAAUUGACGGGGACCCGCACAAGCGGUGGAGCAUGUGGUUUAAUUCGAAGCAACGCGAAGAACCUUACCAAAUCUUGACAUCCUUUGACAACUCUAGAGAUAGAGCUUUCCCCUUCGGGGGACAAAGUGACAGGUGGUGCAUGGUUGUCGUCAGCUCGUGUCGUGAGAUGUUGGGUUAAGUCCCGCAACGAGCGCAACCCUUAAGCUUAGUUGCCAUCAUUAAGUUGGGCACUCUAAGUUGACUGCCGGUGACAAACCGGAGGAAGGUGGGGAUGACGUCAAAUCAUCAUGCCCCUUAUGAUUUGGGCUACACACGUGCUACAAUGGACAAUACAAAGGGCAGCGAAACCGUGAGGUCAAGCAAAUCCCAUAAAGUUGUUCUCAGUUCGGAUUGUAGUCUGCAACUCGACUACAUGAAGCUGGAAUCGCUAGUAAUCGUAGAUCAGCAUGCUACGGUGAAUACGUUCCCGGGUCUUGUACACACCGCCCGUCACACCACGAGAGUUUGUAACACCCGAAGCCGGUGGAGUAACCUUUUAGGAGCUAGCCGUCGAAGGUGGGACAAAUGAUUGGGGUGAAGUCGUAACAAGGUAGCCGUAUCGGAAGGUGCGGCUGGAUCACCUCCUUU